GACUGAUGGUCGAAUGGUAAUGUAGUUGGCUCUCACCAAAUAGUUCCGGAUUCGAUCCCCGGUCGUGGCA